UACGUAGGGGGCGAGCGUUGUCAGGAGUUACUGGGCGUAAAGCGCACGCAGGCGGUCUGCUAAGUUUGGAGUGACAGUUGGUGGCUUAACUGCCAAAGUGCUUCGAAAACUGACAGACUUGAGGGCUUCAGAGGGACACGGAAUUCCGGGUGGAGUGGUGAGAUGCGUAGAGAUCCGGAGGAACACCAAAGGCGAAGGCAGUGUCCUGGGGAGUGUCUGACGCUCAGGCGCGAAAGCUAGGGGAGCGAACAGG
rnacentral:rRNA from 1 species